GCUUUCACUAUGUUCCAGGCAUGCCUCUGGCACUUCCUGUGGUUUGUCUUUGAAUGCUGAAAAAGUGGGAAGAUCAGAGAAGAUUUCAUGGAAAGAGGAAGAAUGAAGAUAUGAAUGAGGAAGGAUGCAUUGGGCUUUGGAGUUUGGGGUCCCAUGCUAUUACUAUGUGCCAAGCUGUCUUCCAAGAAGGAGGAAGGGAGUAAUAAAUCAGAAAAGCCACUGAGAAGUGAUGGUGUGGAAGCCAGAAAGGAACAGGUGGGAGGAUGACAGAGUAACAAGGAAACAAUAAAUUCAGUUUUGGAACGGCUGAAAUUGAAGUAUAAGCAAGACAUCCUGGUGUGGAUGACCAAGAGGCAGGUGAAGAAGCAGACUCAAGCUGAGGAACAACUUGUGUACCUGGUAUGUGGUGUCAGUUAAUAUAAUAUGUGGGGGUGACAUUAUUCUUGGAAAGUAUAUUGAGUGAAAAAAACUCAGACUAGAGAAAGCGCAUCAGCAUUUCAGGGCAGAAGCAAGGAAACAAGCCAUAUUAGGCAGUAGUUAAAAGCUGAAGGUUUGCAGUUCUAUUGCCUUGGGCAAGUUAAACUUCUAAAUUUUCUCAUCUAUAAAGUAGCUAUGAUAAAACUCAGUUCUCAAAGUUACCAUAAGAAUCAUGCAAGGAGACCUCACUGAAACAUAAGUUGGUAAAUUUUUUUAUGCAUUUUAAUCUCCACUUCCCACUGAAGAAGGAGGACCCUUUUAGAGUGUUUUCUUGGUUUGGGUUUUUUUGCAGAGGAGAGGUGGUACAGAAGCAAUCUGAAAUUAAUGGAUUUCCUGUCUUUUGUGAGAGGCUAAACCAAGUAAAGAGGUGAAAUAAAUAGUGUUUAGAAUGCCAUGAAAGAAGGGGGUGCUUUCCCUGGAUUCUGAAGGGGAGAGAAAUCUGUGCAUCUGAGCAGGUGGUUCAUUCCAAGAUGUGCUGUGUGAUCUUCUAAGGGAGACAGAACCCUAGGCGCUGGGGGUCCUGGCCAUGGUGUGCAAACGGAAGGCAGGCAAGCCUCCACAAGCACAGUGAAGACGUGCAUGCCUCAUGCAUUUCUCCAGUCAUUUUCCAUUUACCAGAUUCUGGUAUGACCCUGGGGAGAACAUGGGAACUACAAUAAAGACUGAAUCAGGGCGGGGCACUGUGGCUCAUGCCUGUAAUCCCAGCACUUUGGGAGGCCAAGGCGGGCGAAUCACUUGAGGUCAGAAGUUUGAGACCAGCCUGGCCAACAUGGUGAAACCCUGUCUCUACUAAAAAUACAAAGAUUAACCGGGCGUGGUGAUGGGCGCCUGUAAUCCCAGCUAUUCAGGAGGCUGAGGCACGAGAAUCGCUUGAACCCGGUAGGCGGAGGUUGCAGUGAGCCGAGAUCCACGCCACUGCACACGCCAGCCUGGGCGAUAGAGUGACUCAGUCUCAAAAAAAAAAAAAAAAAAAAAAAAAAAAAA